rnacentral:rRNA from 1 species
UACGGAGGGGGCGAGCGUUGUCCGAAUUUAUUGGGCGUAAAGCGCGUGUAGGCGGAUGGACAAGCCUGAGGUGAAAGGUUGGGGCUCAACCCCAUACAGUGCCUUGGGGACUGUUCGUCUGGAGGCCGGCAGAGGAGAGUGGAAUUCCUGGUGUAGCGGUGGAAUGCGUAGAGACCAGGAAGAACACCCAUGGCGAAGGCAGCUCUCUGGGCCGGUACUGACGCUGAGACGCGAAAGCGUGGGGAGCAAACAGG